rnacentral:rRNA from 1 species
AUUGAACGCUGGCGGCAGGCCUAACACAUGCAAGUCGAGCGGAUGACGGGAGCUUGCUCCUUGAUUCAGCGGCGGACGGGUGAGUAAUGCCUAGGAAUCUGCCUGGUAGUGGGGGACAACGUUUCGAAAGGAACGCUAAUACCGCAUACGUCCUACGGGAGAAAGCAGGGGACCUUCGGGCCUUGCGCUAUCAGAUGAGCCUAGGUCGGAUUAGCUAGUUGGUGGGGUAAUGGCUCACCAAGGCGACGAUCCGUAACUGGUCUGAGAGGAUGAUCAGUCACACUGGAACUGAGACACGGUCCAGACUCCUACGGGAGGCAGCAGUGGGGAAUAUUGGACAAUGGGCGAAAGCCUGAUCCAGCCAUGCCGCGUGUGUGAAGAAGGUCUUCGGAUUGUAAAGCACUUUAAGUUGGGAGGAAGGGCAGUAAGCUAAUACCUUGCUGUUUCGACGUUACCGACAGAAUAAGCACCGGCUAACUCUGUGCCAGCCGCCGCAGUAA